UGCGUACCUUUUGUAUAAUGGGUCAGCGACUUAUAUUCUGUAGCAAGGUUAACCGAAUAGGGGAGCCGGAGGGAAACCGAGUCUUAAUUGGGCGUUAAGUUGCAGGGUAUAGACCCGAAACCCGGUGAUCUAGCCAUGGGCAGGUUGAAGGUUGGGUAACACUAACUGGAGGACCGAACCGACUAAUGUUGAAAAAUUAGCGGAUGACCUGUGGCUGGGGGUGAAAGGCCAAUCAAACCGGGAGAUAGCUGGUUCUCCCCGAAAGCUAUUUAGGUAGCGCCUCGUGAAUUCAUCUCCGGGGGUAGAGCACUGUUUCGGCUAGGGGGCCAUCCCGGCUUACCAACCCGAUGCAAACUGCGAAUACCGGAGAAUGUUAUCACGGGAGACACACGGCGGGUGCUAACGUCCGUCGUGAAGAGGGAAACAACCCAGACCGCCAGCUAAGGUCCCAAAGUCAUGGUUAAGUGGGAAACGAUGUGGGAAGGCCCAGACAGCCAGGAUGUUGGCUUAGAAGCAGCCAUCAUUUAAAGAAAGCGUAAUAGCUCACUGGUCGAGUCGGCCUGCGCGGAAGAUGUAACGGGGCUAAACCAUGCACCGAAGCUGCGGCAGCGACACUGUGUGUUGUUGGGUAGGGGAGCGUUCUGUAAGCCUGUGAAGGUGUGUCGUGAGGCAUGCUGGAGGUAUCAGAAGUGCGAAUGCUGACAUAAGUAACGAUAAAGCGGGUGAAAAGCCCGCUCGCCGGAAGACCAAGGGUUCCUGUCCAACGUUAAUCGGGGCAGGGUGAGUCGACCCCUAAGGCGAGGCCGAAAGGCGUAGUCGAUGGGAAACGGGUUAAUAUUCCCGUACUUGGUGUUACUGCGAAGGGGGGACGGAGAAGGCUAUGUUGGCCGGGCGACGGUUGUCCCGGUUUAAGCGUGUAGGUGUGUGUUCCAGGUAAAUCCGGUUCACUUUAACACUGAGGCGUGACGACGAGGCACUACGGUGCUGAAGCAACAAAUGCCCUGCUUCCAGGAAAAGCCUCUAAGCAUCAGGUAACAU
rnacentral:rRNA from 1 species